rnacentral:rRNA from 1 species
CAAUAGCGUAUAUUAAAGUUGUUGCGGUUAAAACGCUCGUAGUUGGAUAUCUGUCAGCGCACGGUGCUCCGCCCUGGCGGUGUGUAGCCAUCAGUGUGCUGGCAUCAUCUUGGGGAGUGUGUCUGCACUUGAUUGUGCGGGGCACAAGCCAGGACAUUUACUUUGAGGAAAUGAGAGUGUUUCAAGCAGGCGUCCGCCAUGAAUACGUUAGCAUGGAAUAAUAGUAUCGGACCUCGUCCCAAAGCUGUUGGUUCCUUGGGUCGAGGUAAAGGUGAAUAGGGAUUGUUGGGGGCAUUCGUAUUAACGCGUCAGAGGUGGAAUUCUUAGAUUGCGUUACGACGAACUACUGCGAAAGCAUUUGCCAAGGAUGUUUUCAUUGAUCAAGAACGAAAGUAUGGGGAUCGAAGACGAUCAGAU